CUGAUGGGUCAGAACGACCCGAAGAUAACACAAGGGUUAAGAUUUUCCACCUCGGGGGAGGAGGACAGUACAUUUCUGGAAAAAGAGUGUUUCGACCCAAUAAUUUGGGAACAACAGACACUCGCAUAAUGAUGGGGAGCAGGAUUUUCUUAAAUCAUAUCCUGGCUGAUGAGAUCCAGAGACAAGGCAGAACAGUUGUAGAUACAUCUGAUGUAAUGUGUAUGAGGGACUACAUGCAGUAUACAAGUCAUGUGGAUGAGCUCCCUGCAUACCUUGGCGGAAGAGAGAACACGUGGAGGUCCCUCUCUCUGAAGGGACUGCCUCAGUGGGGUACGGCGACAGACAGGCUUCAGCAAAAGCGCCUGUUGUCUCUGUGGCGGGAUGGGGGUCAGAACCCUCGACUGCAGAGGUCUCCUGCCACGCCCCCCUCUUCCAUUGUUUCAACUGAACGAUCAGUCCUCAAUCCAACGCCAAUCUUGCCAAUGUGUCACUCCUCCCGCAAGUGCAGCACCACUCACCGCAUGAGACAGCUGCACUUGCUACAGAAUAAACUCGGGGAAGAAGACAACAAUGGAGACUGGAGAACAAUAGAGCAAGAUGUAGACAGUCAGGAGAACAACAGUCUUGGAGGACUUACGGAGUCUGUUUCAACACGUAUGGCUGUGCCUCUGGUGGAGGAGAAA